rnacentral:rRNA from 1 species
UACAGAGGUCUCAAGCGUUGUUCGGAUUCAUUGGGCGUAAAGGGUGCGUAGGCGGCGCGGUAAGUCGGAUGUGAAAUCUCGGAGCUUAACUUCGAAACUGCAUUCGAUACUGCCGUGCUUGAGGACUGGAGAGGAGACUGGAAUUUACGGUGUAGCGGUGAAAUGCGUAGAUAUCAGGAGGAACACCAAUGGCGAAGGCAGCUCGCUGGGACGGUACUGACGCUGAGACGCGAAAGCGUGGGGAGCGAACAGG